GAUGAACGCUGGCGGCGUGCCUAAUACAUGCAAGUCGAGCGAACGGACGAGAAGCUUGCUUCUCUGAUGUUAUCGGCGGACGGGAGAGUAACACGUGGAUAACCUACCUAUAAGACUGGGAUAACUUCGGGAAACCGGAGCUAAUACCGGAUAAUAUUUUGAACCGCAUGGUUCAAAAGUGAAAGACGGUCUUGCUGUCACUUAUAGAUGGAUCCGCGCUGCAUUAGCUAGUUGGUAAGGUAACGGCUUACCAAGGCAACGAUGCAUAGCCGACCUGAGAGGGUGAUCGGCCACACGGGAACUGAGACACGGUCCAGACUCCUACGGGAGGCAGCAGUAGGGAAUCUUACGCAAUGGGCGAAAGCCUGACGGAGCGAAGUCGCGUGAGUGAUGAAGGUCUUCGGAUCGUAAAACUCUGUUAUUAGGGAAGAACAUAUGUGUAAGUAACUGUGAACAUAUUGACGGUACCUAAUCAGAAAGCCACGGCUAACUACGUG
rnacentral:rRNA from 1 species